UACGGAGGAUCCGAGCGUUAUCCGGAUUCAUUGGGUUUAAAGGGUGCGUAGGUUGUUUUAUAAGUUAGCGGUGAAAUACCGAUGCUCAACAUCGGGGCUGCCGCUGAUACUGUAGGACUAGAGAUCGGAUGCAGCAGGCGGAAUGUGUAGUGUAGCGGUGAAAUGCAUAGAUAUUACACAGAACACCGAUUGCGAAGGCAGCCUGCUAGGCCGGAUCUGACACUGAUGCACGAAAGCGUGGGGAUCGAACAGG
rnacentral:rRNA from 1 species